rnacentral:rRNA from 1 species
CGCCAGCCGCCGCGGUAAUACGGAGGGUCCAAGCGUUAUCCGGAUUUAUUGGGUUUAAAGGGUACGUAGGCGGCUUUUUAAGUCAGUGGUGAAAUCCUGCAGCUUAACUGCAGAACUGCCAUUGAUACUGGAGAGCUUGAGUAUUGUUAAGGUAGGCGGAAUUGAUGGUGUAGCGGUGAAAUGCAUAGAUACCAUCAGGAACACCGAUUGCGAAGGCAGCUUACUGGGCAAUAACUGACGCUAAGGUACGAAAGCGUGGGGAGCGAACAGGAUUAGAUA